ACUCAAAUGAAUAGACGGGGACCCGCACAAGCAGUGGAGUAUGUGGUUUAAUUCGAAGCAACGCGAAGAACCUUACCAGGUCUUGACAUCCCGAUGAAAGCACCAGAGAUGGUGCCCCUCUUCGGAGCAUUGGAGACAGGUGGUGCAUGGUUGUCGUCAGCUCGUGUCGUGAGAUGUUGGGUUAAGUCCCGCAACGAGCGCAACCCUUGAUCUUAGUUGCCAGCAUUAAGUUGGGCACUCUAGGAUGACUGCCGGUGACAAACCGGAGGAAGGCGGGGAUGACGUCAAAUCAUCAUGCCCCUUAUGACCUGGGCUACACACGUACUACAAUGGCCGGUACAACGGGAAGCGAAGCGGCGACGUGGAGCGAAUCUUUAUAAACCGGUCUCAGUUCGGAUUGCAGGCUGCAACUCGCCUGCAUGAAGUCGGAAUUGCUAGUAAUCGCGGAUCAGCAUGCCGCGGUGAAUACGUUCCCGGGUCUUGCACACACCGCCCGU
rnacentral:rRNA from 1 species